GGAGGCGUGCUUGGAGUGGUUUAUCAGCCGGGUUUCGAAAACCCUGGGAGUCGAAAGGCUCACGUAGGUUCGAAUCCUACCGCCUCCG
rnacentral:tRNA from 1 species